GCGCCUGUAGCUCAGCUGGAUAGAGUGUUCGGCUACGAACCGAAAGGUCGGAGGUUCAAAUCCUCUCAGGCGUACCA
rnacentral:tRNA from 1 species